AUGGUUUUCCUCGUUUCUCUCCUCUCCUGUGAAUUUUUAAGUCUACCUUUUGUCUAUCAAUUCAUUUUCAUUAUCCUGAUUGUUUAGAUCACAAACAACAAUAGUAAAACAUAUGAAAUGAAAUAUUCUGAUAGGUGGGAUGAUAUUGAGUACUUUCAUCGAGGGUCAUGUUAGAACGAGGACAUAUGCUUUUGCUCUUUUAGUUUACUCUUAUUUUGUCUUAUUCUCUAUCUGAUGUUGCUUCUGCUUCGGUUUGGUUAUAUCUUGCUGUUUUUACUGCUGUUUCCAUGACUUUUUCAUUACCAUAUUUCUUUGCUUUACUGCGUCUGUGCUGGCCUGAGCUGAGGGUCUAUAACAACCAUUGUGAGGUGUGCGUACUCCCCAUACCCCACUUUUGGGAUUCCACUGGGUUUUUUGUUGCUGUUGUAGUUAUUGCCAAAAUAUCACGUCUAAGAUACACAAUAUUUUCUUCUGGAGACUCAUUACUGUUUGGCAAAGGGGAAUUGGAAAUUAGAUGCCUUGAGGUUACGUCAAAGCUCCAUCAUCACUGAGGUCAUUGCCAUCUUCCCACUUGUUCUAUGAGUAAACUUUGUGUGAACCAAAAUUGCGUUAUCUGAUCAUUCUUGCACUUGCAAGGUUCGUAUCUAGUACUAUAACAAUUUCAGGAACCCUAAAAAGAAAAAUGCACUCAUUUGCAGACUGUACUCUGCAUCUGUAUCCAUAACUAGAAGAUAAAUUUGACAUGACACCCACUUCAAUUUUGUAUAUUUAUCCUAAUGUGGGAAGAUCUGCGUCUAAUCCUCUAUAGUUCCAGAAAAGAAAUAGAACUCAGGUGUUUUUUGGACUAUUGUCCCUAACCGGAAGUUGGGCUUAACAUUGCAUCCACUUUGGUUUUCUAAAACCCUCCACUCUGCUUAUUAAAAAAUUAGUGACAUCAGUUUCUUUCUUCUUCUCGAUAAUUUAGUGACAUCAAUCACAGUUUCUGUCAAGUUCUUCAGCCAAUAUAGCCAUCCGGUCCUUUCCACUCUCGUUCCAUCUCUUAACUUCUGAGUUUUGACUCAUUUCUUAUUCAGUUUUGGUCCUAUUUCAGUAUUUGUUUUUGCGAAGUCUGCACCUGGACGUACAAUGUUUCUAGGGUCUGUAUGGUGCUAUACAUGUUGUCUUCAACUGACCCUAUAAAAAAUUUAGAGAGUUGUAGUUUUAAUAUGCUACCUGGCUAACAUCACGGCCAAAAAAAGGAAAAAAAAAGUGCUGGAAAUCCAUCACUUGACUACUAGACACCUCUUUGAUGUAACCAGGAAGGAAAACGAGAGACAAUUAGAUUCGAAAGAGUUAGUGGAGGGCACACUUCUAUUCAACCCUAAAUACUUCUGCUUGGUGGAAUCACAAAGAUAAGUGUUAAAAACAUUUUUGAAUAGUAUAGUCACAAAGUGCAAUCCUGAAGUGUAGGUAGCACUAUGUUGGAUGGCUAGAUGCUCCCCCCUCCCUUUGCCAUUUCGUUCUUUUUCUGUAUUGUUGCUUGUUUGUAUUUCAGGAUCUAACAUGGGGAGGAUCAUACUGGGUUUGUUGUUGUUGUCGUUAUUGUAAAUUGAGUGUACUAUUACUGGUAUACUGAAACUGAAGUUCCGUCUUGCAGGAUCCUUCUAUUGUUGCCUAGAUCAUAUAUAUAUAUAUGAAUUUGUGUUGGAGUUGCGAAGUUGCCUCUGUCAAAUAGCUUGGGAUUCCAAUAACUAUUUCCUUACAUCACGAAAUAGGGAUCCGGUAUGAAGAUUGCUGAUCGUCAAUGCCAAAUUCAAGCUAGUUUUCAUUUGUGAUGUAAUUCUUUUUAUUGGUUUAUUUCUUCCCAUCUUAUUGUGGAGUGGAGUGGUGUGGUGAAUACGAGGUUGUGUAAUUCUUUUUAGUUUUUAAGCCUUUCCAGUCACGAUAGGUUAGGAGCUUGUAUUGGCAUCAUAUCUUUCUUGGUGAGGCGAGGCCGAAUUUUAGUACAAGGAAACAAAAACCAAGU
rnacentral:lncRNA from 1 species